UACAGAGAGUGCGAGCGUUAAUCGGAAUUAUUGGGCGUAAAGGGUGUGUAGGUUGUUAAAAAAGUUAGUUGUGAAAUCCCUGGGCGUAACCUAGGAAUAGCAGCUAAUACUUUUUAUCUAGAGUAUUAUAGGGGGAAGUGGAAUUUCCGGUGUAGCGGUGAAAUGCGUAGAUAUCGGAAGGAACACCAGUGGCGAAGGCGACUUCCUGGAUAAAUACUGACACUGAGACACGAAAGCGUGGGGAGCAAACAGGAUUAGAUACCCUGGUAGUCCACGCUGUAAACUAUGAAAACUUGCUGUUAGGCAUUUAUAUAUGUUUAGUGGCGUAGCUAACGCGUUAAGUUUUCCGCCUGGGGAGUACGAUCGCAAGGUUA
rnacentral:rRNA from 1 species